UAUAAAAUACUAUGAGAUGGUUGGGUUAGAUUUCAUCGUGAUCUAUCCAUAUGCGUAUUACUAUAAAUGAUUAUUGUGAACUAUGAAUGGCUUGAUCCCUGUUUAGGGUACGUAGGCAGUCUAACGAGACGUUAGAUGCAGCCAUAUAAGAAAUGAAAUUAAAUAAUCGAGACCAUAGCCUUGUUUAAGGAAUUGAGCAAUGUUUGUGGGCUUUUGGUUUUCAGUAUAUAUUUAUAUACUUGAUAUUUUCCUAGAAAUAUGUUAAAUGAGAUUAUGCCUUGAAUGCCAUGCAUAUAAGUUUAUAAUUCGUAUAUGAAUUGGUAUAUGAUGCAUUAUAUGUAAUUGUGUUGCUAUGAGCGCUCUGAAGUGCAAAGGUACGCAGAACACAUAGGUAAGUUCAAGUAAGUUUAGGUAAGUUCAUGUAAGUUAGAUAAAUUCAAGUAAGUAUACGAUAUUAGUUAACUGAUGAGAUAUCAAUAUGUCAUAUAGGUCACUAGAGGUGACACCGACUAUUAUAUGCUAGCCGUGAUUGAUGAGAUAUGUGAUGAGAUAUCAAUAUGUCGUAUAGGUCACUAGAGGUGACUCCGACUAUUAUAUGCUAGCCAUAACUGAUGAGAUAUCAAUAUGUCGUAUAGGUCACUAGAGGUGACUUCGAUUAUUAUAUGCUAGCCAUAAUUGAUGAGAUAUGUGAUAAGAUAUCAAUAUGUCGUAUAGGUCACUGGAGGUGACUUCGACUAUUAUAUGUUAGCCGUGAUUGAUGAGAUAUGUGAUGAGAUAUCAAUAUGUCGUAUAGGUCACUAGAGGUGACUCCGACUAUUGUAUGCUAGCCAUGAUUGAUGAGAUAUGUGAUGAGAUAUCAAUAUGUCGUAUAGGUCACUAGAGGUGACUCCGACUAUUAUAUGCUAGCCAUAAUUGAUGAGAUAUGUGAUGAAAUAUGAAUAUGUCAUAUAGGUCGCUAGAGGUGACUCCGACUUACACGCUAAUAUAUAUAAUGAAUAUAUGUAAUGAGCUAAUAUAUGUGGUGAAUACGUGAUGGGCUAGUAGACGUGAUGAAUAUGCGAUAAGUUAACAUAUGAUUAUAAAUAUGUGAAGCAUGACUUGAAUCAAUAUACGUAUAUAAAGAUGUAUAUUUUAUAUUCUAAGUCUGGAAAUUAUACAGGUGUUGUAGCGAGGGGUUAUAGCAAUUUAUAUGUUUUCUAUUAGUAAUUUACUUACAUGGCCACUCACCCUUGUCUUGUCUUCACCCUCCAGGUAUUAUUAGCUGAGUUUUAUUAUCAGCAAAGACUCGCAACAAUUCUUAGUAUCGGAGACUAUUUCGAGGGUACGAUUUUUAUAUCAUUUUUCUGUACUUGCUUAUGCUCUACAUCACGUGUGAAGUGGGUUCAUUCCCGCUCAUCAGUGCACUCUGGUAUUUAGGCACUCUUAGGUUUAAAUUUAUUCACAAUUUUCCACACCAUCACACUUUAUGGUUUUGUCACCUUCCAGGUGUCGGCCAGCACAGCUUGAUUCGGAGUCCUAGUGGACAUUCCGAGUCGGGAUGUGUCAUUUUAAAACAUUGAUCAUUAUACAGUCUAUUGUUUUAAUACUCUUUCGCGAUUGUAUUGUGUUUAAUGAAGACGUGCAUUUGAUAUUUCUUUUAAAAACAUGAUUACGAGGAAUGCUGCAUUCCUCACUUGCCUUUUCCACUUAAUGGAUGUCAUGUGGACAUAUUUUACACCUAAAUUUAUGUAGUUCUUGUUUGUACCUCAAUAUGGUAAUCGAGCAACACACUCUGUGGCUUCAUACAUAUUUAAACAAGGUGACUCAUUUAUUGGCUUCGAAUUUCUGUUCAACAUUUUGGCGGAGGACGUUAACAUUCCGAUUAGAAUUUUAUAAAUCUACUUUUCUGAUAUUAAAAAAAAAAAACUCUAAUUUAAUAAUUAACAAUAUUU
rnacentral:lncRNA from 1 species